ensembl:ncRNA lncRNA:CR44468 long non-coding RNA:CR44468
GGGAGCGGUUAUUUCCGCCGGAGGUGGAAAAAAAAGAACCAAUUGCCUUGAGUCACUCGACAAAUCUCGCGUGGCCGCAGUGCGACUGCAGAAUCUCUUUUCUAGAAUCUUAUCGCACGGAAGAUUUGGAGGAGCCAUAAAGAAAGGUAAUAUGUGUAUUUUAUUGUGGAAGCGCAAUUGUGUUAUCAUUUGCAGGCGACUCCAACAGUAGCGCUGAUUUAUCACCUGCGGCGUGACAUCAUGGGCACAUCACUAAAACUAUCUAGUCACUAUCUAGCUACAUUGUGGUAAGGCCCAGAUCCAAAGAUCAGGCGAAAGGUGCUCAAGAUGACUGGGCAAAUGUGAAUAGGAUUGAAAAUUAGUUUAAAGCGGCAUCGAGUUGGUUGUGAAAUGGAAAUGAACAAUUCAUUAUCGCCGCACAGACAGCUGAAUACUUGCUUGAAUAUAAAUACGAAUAUAAUUUGUGGCAAAAAAACAACAACAAACAACAUUUAUUUGCGUUAACAGUGCAAAAAUGAUUAAGCGAUAACCUUAAAGACAGAGACAGAGAGAGAGAGAGUGGGCGAAAGAGAGGGGCACAAAGAAUGUGAUCGAGAGAGAGAAUGGGGCGCCGCGCUGUGCUAAUUGUUUUUGCCAUUUUGCAGGCCCCAAUCCGAUUCACACCAACACACGCACACACACAUGCGCACACACAGCCCGAAAGAGAGAGGGGACUCUCUCGGCCGAUCUUUGAUCACGUUUCCCGCACACGACGAAGGCACCCGAUUCCAACGCUUGGAGCCUCGUUCACGUGAUAACCAUGUGCUGGCUCUCCCGCUCCCGCUGCUCUCUUCGUAUAUUUUUUAUGUGAAAAACGAGUCGCGAAAUGAGUUUGCCAUUCUUGGCACUUUAGCGGUGGGGGCAGCGAGUUCGGGACAAGAUCGGGGGAAGUUGGAGACCCAUGGGUGCGCUAUCCAUGAUUUCACCAUUGGGGAGCGCCGCUGAGAGAGACACGCGAGAAACUGCCGAUUCAUAUUGAGUCGGCCGACUAUCACGCAUUGCUCAUUCCCCAUUCUGGUCGAGAUUUGCACACUUGAUUUCGGGCCCCCCUUCCCAUCCAACCAGUUUACGAUGAUGGCCAAAAACCGAGGCCAGAAACCUAAUCAAGACCAUACACCGAGGAAACUGAAAAUCUCACUUCCUUGAAAUCUUUUAAUAAUAAUGCCACAAUGAUACAUUUCUUUUUUUUUACUUAAUGUUGCAGCUAACGCAUUUUAUUAGCCAGAGAAUUAUCUACUAUAUAUUAUAAUAUUAAUUAUUUUAAUCGUACAAUAUAUUACCCUUUUUUUGCAGUGUUCAACAUUACUUGGUCGGUAACGUUGCGCGGUUUUAUUGCGACUUGAUAAGAUCUCUUCAGAUUUCAUAAAAAUAAACUCCUUUAAAUGGGCAUUUAAUGGAUUCCCUUAUCGUGAGAUUGCUAAAGAGAUCAAGAUUCCUGCACAUGUGCUUGGCGAAUGAAAAUUGCUGAAGCGCCCAGAACUCGUAACUUACCCAGCACGAGAUCCGAUUCGAAAUGAUAGUUUUACUGGGAAUCAAAUUUAAAUUGUGUUGACUCAAAUACU